GAAGAUUGUCACGUGCUUGUGCAAUUAUGAUCUACACAGACACAUCUACCCUAAAGGAAAAUCUUUUCUCCUCCACGAUGCUUCUUCAGAGUUUCAAAAGUCUGACCUCCAGAAAAGCCAUUUUCAAACUUUUCUGGACCAUUGUCCCCAUUUGAUCGCUAUCAACUUCAAUUGGUCUACCCUACCAUGGAGCAUCAUCCAGUGAGAAAGCUCCAACACGGAACUUUGCAAACCACUUUUGACACGUUCGAUCAGUCACAGAACC